rnacentral:rRNA from 1 species
GUGGGGAAUCUUGCGCAAUGGGCGAAAGCCUGACGCAGCCAUGCCGCGUGGAUGAUGAAGGUCUUAGGAUUGUAAAAUCCUUUCACCGGUGAAGAUAAUGACUGUAGCCGGAGAAGAAGCCCCGGCUAACUUCGUGCCAGCAGCCGCGGUAAUACGAAGGGGGCUAGCGUUGCUCGGAAUUACUGGGCGUAAAGGGAGCGUAGGCGGGCAUUUAAGUCAGGGGUGAAAUCCCGAGGCUCAACCUCGGAACUGCCUUUGAUACUGGGUGUGUUGAGUGUGAGAGAGGUGAGUGGAACUCCGAGUGUAGAGGUGAAAUUCGUAGAUAUUCGGAAGAACACCAGUGGCGAAGGCGACUCACUGGCUCAUUACUGACGCUGAGGCUCGAAAGCGUGGGGAGCAAACAGGAUUAGAAACCCCUGUAGUCC